GUGCUUGUAGCUAUCCCCAUCGAAUUUGCCUAGGUUGAUACAAAGGUAAAACAUGCGGGAGGAGUAUGAAUGAGGUUGCUAGAAUAAAAAUGUGGUGGGGUUUGGGUACAACUUAAAUACGUGAGGUGACUCUCGAGGUCCGCCUUCUUCCCAACCUUUAUGAGGCUUCGAGCAUGGUUCAUAGAUUGGUUAGUUCCGAGUCCAGCCAAGACUGUGACCAUCCCCAUUCGGGAAAAACAGCAAUAUAAAGAAAGCCAAAAAAGUGAAAAAUG
rnacentral:lncRNA from 1 species